CUAUUACCUUACACACAUAAAACCUUGCCUUGACUAGCAGGACUUUAAGGAUGAGAAACCAGCAAUUUUUAGAUGAUCAUGAUUCCAGUUUUUAAGAGUGCCUGCCAAUGCUGUUCUUCUCAUCAAGAAGCCCUUGAUUAGCUUCUCAGAAACCUGGAGCACAGUUUGAAAACCAGUAUUCUGCUUCAUAACUGUUUGAUAAAGAACUGUCAAUAAACAUGCAUAGCCUGAUCAGUUUUAUCCUAAGGACCAUGGAAUUUAGCUAAUCUUGAAUUACACUAAUCAAGCAGAAGAACCUGAAACAAGGUCCAACAGAAGCUGAAGAAGAAAGAAAGCACACAUUAUAUUUGUAACAGUUGGGAUGAUUCAUAUAGUAACAUUAUAUUUACUGGAAUUAUUGAGAAAAUCUUCAGAUUCUAUACUCAAAACAUUUUCAAAUGGUAUACAUCAAUUGGAAUGUCAUUUCAUUAUUGUGCAAAAUAAAUUCCUGUUCUUCAUUUAA